AGGCUAAGCCUGCUAUCAAGUCUUGUUCAUGUUUGGCAAGAAUGUAGGUAGACUAUAGUUUCAUCAUUAAUAUGGUGGAUCAAGUGAAGAGUGUGAGGUAGAGAACUUGGUGCUGCCAUCAUCAGCUCGUCGACAAUGACACUAUAACCGAGAAAUUUAAUAUGUUUAGAAGUGGCCAAAAUUAUUCAACUUGGUCCUAAUAAGAUCUGAUGAAUAUCGCUCGAACUACGCUGAGCUCUAAACUGCUGACUCAGCACAAGAACCAUUUUGCCAAACUCGCUGUACAGGCCGUGUUACGCUUGAAAGGUUCCGGCAAUUUAGAGGCCAUUCAGAUAAUCAAGAAACUAGGUGGAGAAAUGAGCGACUCAUACCUAGAGGAAGGAUUUCUACUAGAGAAGAAGAUUGGUGUGAACCAGCCUAAGAGACUGGAGAAAGCUCGCAUCCUCAUCGCCAACACUGCCAUGGAUACUGACAAGAUCAAGGUGUUUGGGUCCAAAGUACGUGUGGACUCCACUGCCAAAGUAGCUGAGCUGGAAAUGGCCGAAAAAGAGAAAAUGAAGGAUAAGGUUGAUCUCAUUCUCAAGCACAACAUCAACUGCUUCAUUAACAGGCAGCUCAUCUACAACUAUCCCGAGCAGCUGUUUUCCGAUGUGGGAGUCAUGGCAAUAGAGCACGCUGACUUUGAGGGCAUAGAGCGAUUGGCGCUGGUAUUGGGCGGAGAGAUUGUAUCGACCUUUGGUGACCCCGAGAAGGUCAAGAUCGGAACAUGCGACGUUAUUGAAGAGAUUAUGAUCGGAGAGGACAUGCUGAUUCGCUUCUCUGGUGUGGCCCUCGGUGAGGCUUGCUCCAUCGUGAUUCGUGGAGCUACUCAGCAGAUCCUGGAUGAGUCAGAGCGCUCCCUCCACGAUGCUCUGUGUGUACUACAGGGGACGGCUCCUGAGUGACCGGCUGUGAAGGCACCAGCAGUUCCCCAUUCGCUGCUACAGAAGUUCUUAGUCUCGGUGUCAUAGGCGCUAGGCGCGAGUGACUCCCCCAAAUAAUGACUCCCGGUCACUCCUACCUAGUCACCAGUGACCCCCGGUCACUCAUGCCUAGGAAUAAAUAGCCUCGAUCCCAGGCCGAGUUUUCGCUUUUAUAACGGUUAGGCGAACAACUGGGCCUGGUACUAGUUGUCUGCGCAUGCGUCAGUCGUUCGUCAGAUUCUGACGAAUGGAUAUUCUCGUUCACUUUCGUGACAUUUAUAUUCGUGUACUAUCGUGUACUAGAAGUCAGUUCCCGUUUUAUCAUUAUUGGAAUCGAUUGGAAUGGCUCUUAGCUGAAGCUUCUCUCUUCUCUGAAGCUUAUUCUGAAGACUGAACAACAAGGGAAGAGGUAUAAAGCUUUGUCAAGCUUGUUAAGGAGCAAUGGCUAAUAUCCAGCUAUCCCAACAGUGCUCCUCUUGGCUAUACUAACGGACGAGACUGGACAGUUUGAGACACAGGACUGGAGUAUGACCUGCUCAUUCGAGCGUUGCUGGGUAGCUCAGAGACAUCAAGAGAAUCUACGUUUUCUCAAGCAAUGAGUUACGAGUUGGGGCCUAGAAUCAGAGAAGUCCAGCAGCCUGCUAAAUCUUUUUGAAACGUAAUUUGAAGGCAUUCAAUCAUCCUGAAGUUGCCCUGGGUCACUGUAAUUGUGCUGCAGCACAACUGGCAACUCCCCAGGCCUUUGUGAAGCAGCUCCCUAUGUGCAUCUUUUGUGUACUCACUCUGUGCAUUUUCUGUGUACAAAUUUCUAUUAUUGAUUUAUUAAAUAUUUUUGCCGACCACAAA